rnacentral:rRNA from 1 species
CGAGGUUAAGUUGAAGAGACGGAGCCGUAGGGAAACCGAGUCUUAAUAGGGCGGCUUAGUAUCAUGUCGUAGACCCGAAACCAUGUGACCUACCCAUGAGCAGGGUGAAGGUGAGGUAAAACUCACUGGAGGCCCGAACCAGGGCACGUUGAAAAGUGCUUGGAUGACUUGUGGGUAGCGGAGAAAUUCCAAACGAACUUGGAGAUAGCUGGUUCUCUCCGAAAUAGCUUUAGGGCUAGCG